UACGUAGGGGGCGAGCGUUGUCCGGAAUCAUUGGGCGUAAAGAGCGUGUAGGCGGCCCGAUAAGUCUGGUGUGAAAUCUUGAGGCUCAACCUCAAGCUGUCAUCGGAUACUGUCGGGCUAGAGUCCGGAAGAGGAGAGUGGAAUUCCUGGUGUAGCGGUGGAAUGCGCAGAUAUCAGGAGGAACACCAGUGGCGAAGGCGGUCUCCUGGGGCAUUCUUGACGCUGAGGCGCGAAAGCUGGGGGAGCAAACGGG
rnacentral:rRNA from 1 species